GACGUAGGGCGCGAGCGUUGUCCGGAUUUAUUGGGCGUAAAGAGCUCGUAGGCGGCUUGUCGCGUCGAAUGUGAAAACUCGGGGCUCAACUCCGAGCUUGCAUUCGAUACGGGCAGGCUAGAGUUCGGUAGGGGAGACUGGAAUUCCUGGUGUAGCGGUGAAAUGCGCAGAUAUCAGGAGGAACACCGGUGCGAAGGCGGUCUCUGGGCCAUACUGACGCUGAGAAGCGAAAGCUGGGGAGCGAACAGG
rnacentral:rRNA from 1 species